rnacentral:lncRNA from 1 species
UGGUAAGCGCAAACUUUAUUUCAUACAUGAAAUAAUUUAUUAAAUUUAAUGAUAUAUUUGAAAUUAAAAGUUUUUCUUUUUAAAUAAUUUAUUGUCUUAAACUAAAGAAUGACUCAAGAAACCAUUACUGGUUAUUGCACGAUUAUCAGUGAAAAUGAUUUUGUUUAAUAAAGGAAGGAAAGAUGAUCCACUGUGCGUGAUAACUUUGAGGGGUGUGCCCCUCUCACCUAGUUGGAAAAGCAGCAGUUCAGUCUUUUCAACAGUGCUGGGGAACCUAAGCCUCGGGAGAGCUGAGUUCCAGCCCAGCCCUGCCCCAUACCUCCUUUAGCCUAGGAGACUCAUUCGAACUUUCAGGCCAGGGUCCUUCGCCCGCAAAGUGAGACCCUGGGAGAAGAGGACCUUUCAAAACAGAGAUCAAAUGCUGAUUCUGAAGCAUAUGGUGCAGUCUCAACCCCUGAGGCAUUUUGCAAUAUAGGCAAAAAGAUGAGACAUGCACACUCAUGAAAAGUUAAAUAGCUGUAGAAGAUGCCAGCACAAAAUAAAUCACAAAGCAGAAAAUGACAGGCACCAAGUAAACGGAGCCAGCAACUCCAGUCCUCAGUCAGAACCUGGAGAGACCACAUGGCCUGGAGGGAGCUGGGAAGCUUUCUAAACACAACCAAGCUUGGGGCAGUUUCUGGAGGCACUUUGCUUGGUUAUAUUUAAUUUAUAACCCCAGGCUUAUUUAGCUGUGGUUUAAAACUGGAUCGAUGCAUCUUCUUUCAGCCAGAGCCUCAGAACUCCAAGGACAGCACUGAUGGUGUGCAUUGAAGGAAGGGCCUGGAGGGUCUCCUGCCUCUCCGCAGUCCCCAGCACACGCACUCCCCAUGGAACAGAAACGGUCUAUGGCUCCCUAUGAGCCCUGAAGGGCCAGCUUCUCAGGGCUUUCUCACCUCUACCUUCUGCCACUUGGGUUCCUGGCACCUGCUGCCCAUCUGCAUGACCUGUGCGAUGGAACAUGGUCCCUGUGCUCAGGCAGCUCAGCAGGACACAGGUAGAUAGCAUGUGGCAGCUUAGGCACUUCUGGGAACAGCCAAGGUGAGCAUAUGUGCCUGCACUUGCCUGAGUUUCCACACCAGAAAGCUGAUUUUAGUAUUUUUCUUUUGCACCCCAAAAACCAGCUUUCCCACAAGCAGGUUUGCAGUGUGGCCAGCUGCCAGCCGGGCUGGGUAGAGCUGUCCUCACUCUUAAUUCUUCUGGUUUGUUUAUAAGGCUGCUUUCUUCAUUCUUGCUUCUCCAGAUUAUCUGUUCCCCUGAGGGCAAAGGGAAACCAGGCAGCCCCACAUUGACUGCAGCUCAGUGUUCUCUGAAAUGCAAUUAAAAUGUUAAGAAAGAUGGACAAUCAAUACUUUGUACUCUACACAAAAAAUUCCCCUCCUAAUGGCCUAAUGUGGGAGGUGAUGCAGUGAGUGAGCCCAGGGCUGUGUCUACAAAAUGCCAACACAACCAGUGGCAAAACGAGUCAUUUCUGUCUCAUUGCCAAUCUCCCCACCUGGUUUCCCUCCUGGCGCCCCACCCCAUAGUCAGUUAACUAGAUGAUUUAUUCUGACAUCGUGGAAGGCAGGGCCACAGAACAGGAGAGCCAGGUGCAGAGCAGCUUCACGGGGCACGAUGGGGCUCCCUUCACUCUUUCCAUGAGAAGAACUACAAAUUUUUACUCUUCUGAGUUCUUGCAAAGACAAAAUGGCAGAUACAGGCACACCUAGGGCAUGCAUAUUACACCUGCCCAACUUUCUCCAUGCCCCAGACCUGGCCUCAGCAUCCCUCCUGGGACACCCCCAGGCGUCCUCAGCCACCUUGAGACAAAACUGAAGGACCUGCUAUCCGGGGCCAGGUGGUGCCUCUCUUAUGUGAAAUCACUAUUCCUUCCAGCAGCCCAAAGACCAGCGACAUACCUUGUUUUAUAGAUGCUGAAGUGGGCCUAGCAGCCGGUCAGGAUUCCCAGCUAGGACGAAAGAGAACCCCAGGCUCCCUCUCCCUCCCCAGCCCAUCAGCCGCUCAUCCCCACACUGGGAGUAAGCAUUCACUGUGCUCCAGGCACCGUGUUGGACGUGGGCGUGAGUAUAAUAGAAUAGUCUUUCUCUUCUGAGCACUCACAUUGUAGGGAAAACCAUAAAACAUUAGACUCUCUCAUGAAGGAGGCCCGAUUUGGUGGCUAAGACAAGGCUGACUAAUGGCAACAUGUGUACCCAUCCUCCUCUUGCCUCCCACACCAGCCGGUCCUUACUCUAUCACAAGACUUCCAUGGUUCAGCGGAGCACGAGCCCAAGCACAAGGAGGUUAAAGCCUGGCUGUGCCACGGCUGCUCUUGUGGACCACUCUCGUGCUCGAUCAGCUUGUCUGCUGGAUCACACAGCCUGUGGGCUCAUUUCCAUGAAUGCUUAAGGCUUUCUGGGUACCUUCUCAGGGCCCAGCCUAACAAACAGAACAUUAUCAGGAGCACCCAGAAACUGGGUGAGGAGAUGAUGAAACAGAUGGGGCAGACAGGGGGCUGCAGCUGGGGCUAAGUCUGCAGAGAAGCCAUGGGUGCUCAGCCAGGCACACCCAGAUUUGAAUCUGGACUGUCACCUGCUGCUUGUGAGUCUUGGGCAAGGUGGUGAUGGAAUAUAGCACAGCAUGUCAUGAGGUGAUACCCCAAAUUUUUCAGAUAAUCAGUGUUAACAAGCCCAAUGUGGGCUGACGGAGUCCAGGAAGGCUUCUUGGAGGAGGCAGUGCUGGAGUCCUGUAAGUGUCCAGGUGGGAGUGGGUGGGGACAUGGAGUGGCAAGAGGAGAGGUUAUGGGGCUGGAAUAAUAGGCUGCCUUCCCAGACCGAGGCAUGCUGGGCUUUCCUGAAGCAGAAGAUGUGGGAGAGUGAGCAUCAGGUGAAACUUGGUACAGGGCAGGACGGGCCAGGAGGGCUCCCUUGAUAUGUCGCACCCAUCUGCAGCUGAGGCAAACACGUCUUCCAGUGCCCACUUCCACAGCUUUCUAAAAGGACCAAUUAUCACCUUUCAUGCUAACGUUAUUGUUGUUCCUCCUCAGUGUGGGCCAUGGGCCAGGAGCCACCAGUACAUGUCAGUUCUGCUUAAUUAGGAGGGGAAGUCAUCUGUUUUUAUUCAUACAAGCGUGUGGUGGAAAAUAAAUUCAUGCAAAAUGUUAGGUUUAAAUACUAGAUGUCAGAAAACAGUGCUUCAGUUUGGAUCCCUUGGGCUCCUGCGAGGGCUUGCCUCCAGGCUCCUGGGCUGCACAGACCACUUGGUGCUGAGAGUGAGCCUGGGCAUUUCCCAUUUGUUCUCUCCCCUCAUCCUUAUCUCAGCCCUAAGAGGCACCCAGAGUCAGAGGCCCAGAUGCACGAUAAGUCAUUAGUGGCAUCAGAAUCCACACAGCAGCAGCCCUGCUAGGGGCCUGGCCUUCUGCCGCCAUAGCAGGAGCAUCAGGCAGUGCAGGCAGCCAGUGGACCCUCAUUCUGUCCCUCAUGUGGGGCCUCCUCUAUAGCCCUCCACUGUCCAUGCUGCCUCCUAAGUGUUAGCACCCAGCGCCUUCUGGCGCUCCUGCAGCCAUGCUUGGACUGACUGCUUUGUCAGCUCACUCUGGGGUCCACGACCAUGGCCAGCAAGGUGCUGACAGCCAGCCUUUCCCGUCUGUGCCCAGUUGUGACUUUGUGGGGUACACCCAGUACUUUGGCUUCUUGAAGAAAGAAGAACCACAUAGCUGAGCCGAGAGAAGAUGUGCAUUUCCCAAGCCCCAGCCAUCUGCCAGAAGGCCACUCUGCCGGUGGCCCCGGCUUUACCUAAUGAUUCAUCAGCAAUUCUGGAAGAGAAAGGUGUUCUCCUAGUGAUGGAUUUACUCCAUAUCGCUGACUCUGGACAGAAAAGAGUAAAAAGGAAACACAAUUUUCCAUCUGAAAACAUGUGUUCUCUUAACUUACCUUAAGAAAGAAUGUCAACUUCUUUGUGACUGCUCUCUCCUUUUAAGAGAACAUUUUCUCAGUUAUUGCUCUGACAACACAAGGAGGGCAUGUGUUCUGAAGAGCUCAAGGUAUAGAAUACCACACCUGUUCUGCUAAUUCCAUCAGCAACAUGCUUAGUGUGGGCGUCGUAGAUAAGGGCUUAAUAAUGUUCCGUCAGCACCAGAUCCAGGAGUAACACGGAUGAUGGUCACAGUUCACUGAAUGCAUGCAAGCAUUUUUUUUCCAAUUUGUUAUUAUCAUUUAAAUUAGAAAUACUUUGUGUUACUAGAUAAGCAGGCCAGGAGCAUCAAGAUCCAACCUAGCCAAAGUUCAUUGUCUGGGGUCACACAACCAAGGCCUCCCAACCCCCUGCAGUGAGCUGUGUGGGGCCCGUGCUCUUCAGUCCCUGAGGCAUGGAGCCUCAGCUUGUGGGAUCCAGGAGCGGGGCAUAGGGGGACUUCCUUGAAGAAAGCCUCAAAGCUGCCCCGUGGAAGCAAAGUCCCCAUUGGAUGCCAGCUCACCCCGACUUAUCCUGGAGUUUUCUGUCCUGAGUUUUCCAACUUCUGCAUGCAAUUUUCUCUCCCACGCCAGCAAGUAAGUAUUCACUCAGUUCACUGUUAUCUUUAAAGGAAUCUCCAGUGUGGAUCUGACUGAG